GCACACCCCUCUGACUGCAAUGUUCAAUGCUAGACAAGGGUGUUCAGUGGGGGACAAUGCUGGUUGAAGCAAAUAAUGUGAAACAUGGUUUAGGAAUCACAGAAUUUGGGCCUCAAGUAUAGUAACAUAACGUAAGUUUUUUGCUUUCCAAAGGUUUGGAUGGUGACAUUUCACUGAAAGAUGGGGAAGCAACAUGGGGAGAAAAGGUCUUUAGGGUGACAUAAAGGCAGGAAGACUCCAGGAAGAUGAAUGUGAAUGAAGAAAAAAGAGUAAAGAACAGAAGUAUAUGAAGGACAAGAGAUCAACGGUUCAGAGACCCACACACCUCUUUAGUGGAGGAACACCAAGCCCAUUUGUUCUGAUGUCGCCUCAGAAGAACUGAAGAGACAGGAAUUUGAGCCUUGACCCAGUAAUAAAUCAGAGUAGCCGUCACUGUAGUGGAAAGCACAGUAAUGUCAAAAGCUUCCUGGUGUAUGUGCAAUGGGAAGUCAUUCAGCAGUGAAAAACAACAGAGAGAAGGUGGUAAGGAUGCCCUGACACAGCCGGAAGAAGUCCUGAGGAAUGCACAAACAGAAGUACAGGCUUGAAGCUGUAACCAAAAGAACAUGUCUUUUGUUGCAAUUCCUGCUAUACAGAGGAAAACAGAACCUUCUUGUAAAUGAGAAGUACACUGAAGAAAUAGCUGAAGGCUACAUAAAUGGAGGAUGGAGAAAAACCCUGUAGUUGGUCUUAAAUUGGUGGGAAUCAGCUACCACAAAGAUAAUUCAUACGGAUAACUCCUAUCCUGGUUCAAGACAAAUGGACGAAGUAAAUGUCAGCCAGAUUGACACAAACAGUGUAGCUUUCCAGGAACAAUGGGGACUAGACAGAAUGCAAAAACUCAAAGAAUCUAAACAACAGUACAAAGAUACUAAAGUUAAUGUAAUUGCUAAGAGGAGUAGGAGCCACAGCUGCAAAAGCAUUGCCCUGAAUAUGGCUCCAGUGAA